rnacentral:lncRNA from 1 species
CUUCUAAAGGGCUUCAUCUUGUGCAUAAACCAGCUUAAGCUGAACUGUCCACAGGAGCUCCGGUCUGGGGAAGCCCUGAGAGGCCCAUACCCUGUUUGAAUGGUAUUAGAAUUUGGAGUUUAUUGUCUGUGGUGAUGGUACAAAUCCUGUAAUACACCUGGACUUAUUUGUGGUCUGUUUGAUCGAUAGUAUCUGAGUGCAAAAAAGUGCUAAAUUAAAAUAAUUUUGCAGUGGCACGUCAAAUAAGAGCAAUGUUUGGAUGUUUUUGUGCCAACAUAAAUUGUAAAAGCAUAAAUGUAUCAUCUGUAAACAUACUCUUGCAUACGUACAUACACCAAAAAAAUCUAUGCAUAUGUGAACGUAUUAAGGAAAUGUGCAAAACAACAAGAGCAGUAGUCUUCUCAUGGCUGCGAAAAUGUAUUGUAGAUCAGUACGACUACAGCUAACCCUAUUCAACUUUAGAUCAGAUAUUUUUUAGGUUUUGUAGCCAUGUUAUAACUGUACAGAAAAUUAAGUAAAAGAUACAGCCUUAACAUGUAAAGGCAUGUGCCCUAUGCACAAUUUAUUCACUGCCUGGCCAUCAAACAUGUAUAGCUUAUCCACUCCCUGCGGAAGACAACAAUUUUGCUACUAUCCAAAUUAAUUGACGCAAGGGAGUACAAAAAUUCAUGCACUGCCUAAAAGGCUCCAACAGACAAGUACUGUACAUAGAUUUGUUAAAUUUACAGUAAUUCCUCUUUUUGCGGAAAAUUGCUACAGUAAUUCAGGCCUGAAGCAUCUGAGAACGAACUAACUCCACACAUUGGUUCAUUUUUUCAAUUCACAUGCUCGGACAUAAAUUCUCGUUGCCACUACUAAAAUACUAAUGGAUCCAUAACCGGAGGGGACACAUACAGGGCAAGCUUGAUGCAAAAGAUUCAGCAAAUCCAAACAUGCAUAAAUACAAGAAAUAAUUCUGAAGGGCGGCCAAAUUAACAAGGUAAGGUGUUCUUACCUUGUGGGCAGCCGGCUACGUUGAUUGCAGAAGGAAGACGGUGACCUUGUUGGUUGGCAGGUGACUGGAGUGGAGGCAGGAGGGAGACGGUGACCUUGUUGAUGGGCAGGUGACUGGGGUGUGGGAGGGAGCGGAGGGGUGUCGGGGAGGAGUGCGAAGCCGGUGGCCCAGAGCGGCGGCGAGGUGCGAAGGGGAGCCGGAGUCGGGAAGCGCGGCGGCGGGGUGCGAAGGGGAGUCCGGAGUCGGGAAGCGUAGCGGCGGGGGAGGGGGCGGAAUCGGAAGGAGACGGAGGGAACCAGGUAGGGGAGCGAGAGAGGAACCGAGCCGUCAGGUCGGAUUGGGAAAAACCCCGAGCGGAUUUUUUGCCGUAAUUUCUGC